UACGGGGGGAGCAAGCGUUGUUCGGAUUUACUGGGCGUAAAGGGCGCGUAGGCGGCCACCGCAAGUCGACUGUGAAAUCUCCGGGCUUAACCCGGAAAGGUCAGCCGAUACUGCGGGGCUAGAGUGCAGAAGGGGCAACUGGAAUUCUCGGUGUAGCGGUGAAAUGCGUUGAUAUCCUAAGGAACACCGGUAGCGAAAGCGGCUCACUGGGUCUUUUCUGACGCUGAGGCACGAAAGCUAGGGUAGCGAACGGG
rnacentral:rRNA from 1 species